rnacentral:tRNA from 1 species
GCUCGGAUGGCGGAAUCGGUAUACGCGCAACACUUAAAAUGUUGUGGUCUAACGGCCUUGUGGGUUCGAGUCCCACUCCGAGCA